AUUGAACGCUGGCGGCAUGCCUUACACAUGCAAGUCGAACGGCAGCACGGGGCAACCUGGUGGCGAGUGGCGAACGGGUGAGUAAUGCAUCGGAACGUACCUUUCAGUGGGGGAUAACGUAGCGAAAGUUACGCUAAUACCGCAUAUUCUGUGAGCAGGAAAGCAGGGGAUCGCAAGACCUUGCGCUGAUUGAGCGGCCGAUGUCAGAUUAGCUAGUUGGUGAGGUAAAGGCUCACCAAGGCGACGAUCUGUAGCAGGUCUGAGAGGAUGAUCCGCCACACUGGAACUGAGACACGGUCCAGACUCCUACGGGGGGCAGCAGUGGGGAAUUUUGGACAAUGGGGGCAACCCUGAUCCAGCCAUGCCGCGUGAGUGAAGAAGGCCUUCGGGUUGUAAAGCUCUUUCGGCCGGGAAGAAAUCGCACGGGCUAAUACCCUGUGUGGAUGUCGGUACCGGAAUAAGAAGCACCGGCUAACUACGUGCCAGCAGCCGCCGUAA
rnacentral:rRNA from 1 species